rnacentral:lncRNA from 1 species
AAUGUCAUUCCCAAAGUUUACUCCAUCGCACCUGGCCACUCUGCCCUUGACCCUCGACUCAGCCAAAUAUGACAUAUCUCUGGAAGGCUGGCAGAUGCAAGCUGAACGGUUGGCCAUAAGAGCCCAGCUGAAACAAGAGUACCUGCUUCAGUACAACAACCAACUCUAACCACCAAGGGCUCAUCGAAGAUCUUGCCUUAAUUCGUUGGACCUAUGCAAGAUCAGCAAAUGUCUAUUCUAAUUUCAGACUCACUCCUAAAACUCACUCUUGGGAGCUCUGUGUGGAAUUGGGCCCCUCUUCUUCUGGUAUUAUGUUUUCAAAACUGACAGGGAUAGGAAAGAAAAACUUAUCCAGGAAGGAAAAUUGGAUGGAACAUUUAACAUCUCAUAU